GCCAGAUCGCGAGAAGGGACGCUCACCUGCACGGGACAAAGCAGCGCCAAGCCGGCAGCCAACAGCAGUCUGGGGCAGAGGCCAGGCGUCUUCAUGGUCCCGCCGUCUUCGCAGCAGCCGCCGCAGUAGGCUGCGGUCACGGAAGCCCGACGUGCCAAAGGAUGAAAUGUGAUGCCUUUGAAAUCGUUGCCCUUCUCAGGCAGGCUUGAAGUCUCUCCUGGCGGAACAUGCCCGUGCCACAGACAGCCACCACCUAUGACCUCAGAGAAGUAAUGCUGCCUACAAAAACAGAACGCGUGCUUGCUUCUAUUUCCGCCUGGUUAUCGUUUGUAAUUGGGGGAAUGUGGCUUUGGGGCACGUCUUUGUCCUUGAACAAGGCUGGGGAAAUGCUGGGUCAUAAAUCUAGUGCCCCGCACCCUCCACUUGAUGGCAGGGGCUGCAUUUCCCUCUUCUCCUCCUCCUCUUCUGGGGGUGAGCUUUGUUUGUUCUAGACCACAGUGGAAAACCCGAGCAUGCUCUGGGGAAAGACAGGCACGCUGCCUCGGGUCAGGAAAGGAGCCACUAGUGUACCCCCAGCAGCCUCCGGCGAGGCUCAGCCACGUGCCUCAUGCAGGGUGCACUAUUGCACUUCGCAAGGGUGUCCGCUGGGCCGACAGCCUUUUGGGCGAGACCCAACGUGGACUUUUAAAAACGGAAUUAAAGAGAUGGUGCAGAUUUUUCAAGCAGAUGCUUCACGGGGGAACAAAAACUUCAGAUGCUUCUUAGCUGCGAAUUCUCUAAGAGCCUGCCCGAGGCUCUCCGCAUCCCCUUGUUCUCUCCUGCGUGGCUGUCUCAGCUUACAGAAUCUCCGGGGGUCUCCGUGACCUUUCUCUGAAGGUUUUACUGAAUCAUCUGGCCAAGGGACAUAGGAGGGGCAGGCUAGAAGGCAAAUGAUGAUAGGGGAGCUCUGAUGUCAUCGCUGGGCAUGGAGUUUCUUGAGUCAUCUUGAGUGGGCCAUUGGGAAGCCCCAGAGAAAGCCCUCCGUGAAUGUGAGGGGAGCUCCAGGGGGAGUUUAAUAAAUGCGAAUGGCCUUCCAAGGAUCUCUCCUUCUCUAAUAUAUGCACAUGGAGUUGCUGUUUAGUUGUUUAGUCACUUCCAGCUCUUUGUGACCCCAUGCACCAUAGCUAACUGUGGGGUGUUUAUCCCCCCCCCCUAAAAAUCUUUAUCUUGGGGCAGCUAGGUAGCCCAGUGGAUAAAGUGCUGGGCCUGAAGUCAAGACCUGGGUUUAAAGCUGGCCUCAGACCCUUCCCAGCUGUGUGACCCUGGACAAGUCACUUAACCCCCACUGCCUAGCCCUUACCGCUCUUCUGCCUUGGAACCAAUUCAGGAAGGUAAGGGGUUUUAUUAUUUUAAUUAAUUAAUUAAUUUAUUUACAAACUCUUACCUUCUUCCUGACUCCAGGCUCAAUGCUCUUAACCACUGAGUCCCAGCUGGCUCCCUCUCCCUCUCUCUCCCUCUCCACAUAUAUGUAUAUAUGUAUGUUGUUAAGAGAACCAGAUGAGAAAUUGCUUAUAAAAUGCUUUGCAAGAUAAAAGCAGCAUCCAAUUUUUCAAUUGUUUAUUUGGAUUUAUAUUUUGGGGUUUUGGUUUUAUAAGAUUCUUCAGUUACAAAAAUGAAUACGGAAAUAUGAUUUGUGUAUAAACCAGAUAGAAUCCCCUGCCAGUACCAGGAGGGGAAAGGAAAGGGAAGGGAGAUAAGUUCAAUCAUGUAACUUAGGAAAACUCGUGUGCAAAUUUGUUAUUACACCCAACUGGAAAAACAUUUUUUUAAUGGUGCCAUAAAAUAAAAUGCUUUGCAAAACUUA